CGGAGGGAGCUUGCUCCCAAAGAUUAGCGGCGGACGGGUGAGUAACACGUGGGCAACCUGCCUGUAAGACUGGGAUAACUUCGGGAAACCGGAGCUAAUACCGGAUAAUCCUUUUCCUCUCAUGAGGGAAAGCUGAAAGACGGUUUCGGCUGUCACUUACAGAUGGGCCCGCGGCGCAUUAGCUAGUUGGUGAGGUAACGGCUCACCAAGGCGACGAUGCGUAGCCGACCUGAGAGGGUGAUCGGCCACACUGGGACUGAGACACGGCCCAGACUCCUACGGGAGGCAGCAGUAGGGAAUCUUCCGCAAUGGACGAAAGUCUGACGGAGCAACGCCGCGUGAGCGAAGAAGGCCUUCGGGUCGUAAAGCUCUGUUGUCAGGGAAGAACAAGUGCCGGAGUAACUGCCGGCACCUUGACGGUACCUGACCAGAAAGCCACGGCUAACUACGUGCCAGCAGCCGCGGUAAUACGUAGGUGGCAAGCGUUGUCCGGAAUUAUUGGGCGUAAAGCGCGCGCAGGCGGUCCUUUAAGUCUGAUGUGAAAGCCCACGGCUCAACCGUGGAGGGUCAUUGGAAACUGGGGGACUUGAGUGCAGAAGAGGAGAGUGGAAUUCCACGUGUAGCGGUGAAAUGCGUAGAGAUGUGGAGGAACACCAGUGGCGAAGGCGACUCUCUGGUCUGUAACUGACGCUGAGGCGCG
rnacentral:rRNA from 1 species